CCCAGUUCGGACUGUAGUCUGCAACCCGACUACACGAAGCUGGAAUCGCUAGUAAUCGCGGAUCAGAAUGCCGCGGUGAAUACGUUCCCGGGUCUUGUACACACCGCCCGUCACACCAUGGGAGUCAGUAACGCCCGAAGUCAGUGACCUAACCGAAAGGGAGGAGCUGCCGAAGGCGGGACGGAUGACUGGGGUGAAGUCGUAACAAGGUAAC
rnacentral:rRNA from 1 species